CAAACUGGGAUUAGAUACCCCACUAUGCCUUACCGUAAAAUUUAACCUACAUCAUAAACGCCAGGGUACUACGAGCCUUAGCUUAAAACCCAAAGGACUUGACGGUAUCCCAUUCCGACUAGAGGAGCCUGUUCUACAAUCGAUAAUCCCCGAUAUACCAGACCACUUUUUGCCUAAUUCAGCCUGUAUACCUCCGUCGCAAGUUCACCGUGUGAACGUACAAUAGUAGGCCAAAGGACAAAUUCGCCAUAACGUCAGGUCAAGGUGCAGCUAAUAAAGUGGAAGAAAUGGGCUACACUCUCUAAACUAGAACAAAUGAAACACUACAUGAAACAUAGUCAUGAAGGCGGAUUUAGGAGUAAGUAGAAAAUAGAGAGUUCUACUAAAUAACGGCCAUGGGACACGUACACACCGCCCGUCACCCUC
rnacentral:rRNA from 1 species